CAGCUGCAACUUAUUAGUCAUCUCAUUUAAUUUUUUCCCCCCUUUUCCCAGAUCUUUCACUUUCAUCUGUUCUGACAAGUGAAAAAUCAACAUAAAAUUUCAAGAAUAUGAUUUCAUUGCCAGUAUCAUAGCUCAUUUCAUGAAAUAGAAUUGAAGAGAUGUUCUCUUCGAUUAUUGCGGAAUACUUUACUCUCUUUAAUUUCAUUUUUGUUUUCAUUUUUCAUUUUCGUUUUCUCAAGGGUUGCAAAGCACUUCUUGACGAUGUUGAAGAGUCGAGUAAUCAAAACGAUUUGGAUAAUCUUCAAAAGAGGCUGGAUACAGUCCUUGAAAAAAUCAGAGAUCUGGACAAAAAUGUUCUCAACAUAAUGGGCAAUUUGGAAAAGGUUAGGCACACAACGGAAAGUAACAAAGAGAUAGCAUCGAGGCUGGAUGAAGUUUCAAAUGAAAUCGUCUCCAUCGAAAGCGAUACUGAUGAGACUUUGAAUACAACUCUACAACAAAUGGAUUUGAUUGAAAAUCGUUUUGAGGAAUUUCAAUCAAACGUUGAGGAAUUGAAAGAUGUUGGAGAGUAUCUGAAGAAUCUUACAGACAAGCAUCGGAGAAAGAAGCCAGUCUGUCAAAUCUGAAUCCACUUUACAAAGAGGUCUACGUUAUUCCCGCCCAAAAACACGCAGAUGGUUUACUAGAAUCAGCUCGCAGUUAUGAUGAGUAAGUUUCUAGGUCUCUCUGCUCUGAUGAAUUUUCAUCCUCUGGUACAAACUCAUUAUUCGUAUAAAUAUUUAUUACAGAUUUUUGCAAAGGUA
rnacentral:lncRNA from 1 species